GAGAGUAUAGCUCAGUGGUAGAGUGUGUGCUUAGCAUGCACAAGGUCCUGGGUUCAAUUCCCAGUACCUCCA
rnacentral:tRNA from 1 species